GACGAACGCUGGCGGCGUGCCUAACACAUGCAAGUCGAGCGAAUGAAGUUCCUUCGGGACUGGAUUUAGCGGCGGACGGGUGAGUAACACGUGGGCAACCUUCCUCAUAGAGGGGAAUAGCCUUCCGAAAGGGAGAUUAAUACCGCAUAAGAUUGUAGUAUCGCAUGAUACAGCAAUUAAAGGAGCAAUCCGCUAUGAGAUGGGCCCGCGGCGCAUUAGCUAGUUGGUGAGGUAACGGCUCACCAAGGCGACGAUGCGUAGCCGACCUGAGAGGGUGAUCGGCCACAUUGGGACUGAGACACGGCCCAGACUCCUACGGGAGGCAGCAGUGGGGAAUAUUGCACAAUGGGGGAAACCCUGAUGCAGCAACGCCGCGUGAGUGAUGACGGCCUUCGGGUUGUAAAGCUCUGUCUUCAGGGACGAUAAUGACGGUACCUGAGGAGGAAGCCACGGCUAACUACGUG
rnacentral:rRNA from 1 species